UACAGAGGUCUCAAGCGUUGUUCGGAUUCAUUGGGCGUAAAGGGUGCGUAGGCGGCGCGGUAAGUCGGAUGUGAAAUCUCGGGGCUUAACUCCGAAACUGCAUUCGAUACUACCGUGCUUGAUGACUGGAGAGGAGACUGGAAUUUACGGUGUAGCGGUGAAAUGCGUAGAUAUCGUAAGGAAGACCAGUGGCGAAGGCGGGUCUCUGGACAGUUCCUGACGCUGAGGCACGAAGGCCAGGGGAGCAAACGGG
rnacentral:rRNA from 1 species